CGCUAGGUGGCGCUGCGCAGCGAGAUGCGCACUGGCCUAAAAACAGAAACCCCAGGAAAGCCGUGAUACCCUUCCUUAUUUUACGGGUUUUCCUGAAAUAAAGCAAUUUCAUUGGGCCAGAAAAACGUCAUAACUUUUUAAUAGAAACAUAUGCGCAUGUGUAAUCGUUAAAAUUUUGUUUCCGGACCGCACAGAAAAGAAAUGAGGCAAGUUUGAAAAGUUCCUUUCAGAAAAUUUAGCGUUUUACGCUCUAUUACGGUGAUGAAACCUAGAUAAAUUAGUUCAAUAAUGUGUAAACAUUUGAUAUAAACGCAAAAUACAACAGUAAUAGGAUGACAACGUAUCAAAUUUAGCAAAACUUUGGACCACUUUCUUUUUCGGAGGUAUUUUGCCAUAUCUCGGACAAGUCAUGCAUUCCUUAUGAUAAUAACAGAAUUCGUCCGAAUGAACGAGAAAAUGUCAACACGCGAAGUGUUUGCUUGAAAUCAGAGAGAAAUCUUACAUUUUAUCGAUAAAUAAAUAAUGGCAGAAAAAACACAGUCAAAAUAGACAAGUUGAACUUCCACCAGAAAGAACAGUCUAUAGCUAGAAAUUUUCAGAGAUGUUCAACUGGUUCCACAGAGAAGAAUUACCAUUAUACAUUACAUACAGACGUCCAAGGUCAAGGUCAGAACUAUAUUGUCAAAGGGUCAAGGUCAACUAUUAAAGGUUAGUAAAAGUUACAGUAUUGGUUAAUAUUUGCACUGCAGUUUCUUGGAUCAUAACUAGGUCAAUGUGAUGACACAUUAGUACUGUUUUAAGACAGUGACUAUUCUUGUCACUUUCACAUGUUUUUGAAUGACGCAUUUUAGACCUUUCAGGGGAUGAUUUUACCAUAAUUUAUUUAUCUAAAAUGAAAAUACUCCAAAAAUAUUAAAAAAUACUUCCUUUAAAGUGUUUUAGGUGGCUAACUUUGAGCAAACUUUGUCAUGUUGUUUUUAAAAAUAGUGAGGUCACUUUUUGGCAAUUUCUGAAAUAAGGCACAUUUUACGAGCCUGACCCUGUUCUAUCUAAAAACGUCACCAAAAAUUUGUUUUUGCACAUUUUGGUCCAAAAUAAGGUUUUUUGGCAUCCAGUGGCUUUAUAUAAUAUGGAAAUGCAGUCAAAAUGAGGAUUAAAAUUGGAUUAAAAAAUCCUGUAGCA
rnacentral:lncRNA from 1 species